rnacentral:rRNA from 1 species
AGAUAUGAUCCAGAGUACCACGGGACACGUGAAACCCUGUGGGAAGCAGGAGGGACCACCCUCCAAGGCUAAAUACUACCUAGUGACCGAUAGCGUAUAGUACCGUGAGGGAAAGGUGAAAAGAACCCCGGGAGGGGAGUGAAAUAGAACCUGAAACCCUGCACUUACAAGCUGUGGAAGCACAUUUCUUGUGUGACCGCGUACUUUUUGUAGAACGGGCCAACGAGUUACGUUAAGUAGCAAGGUUAAGCACUUAAGGUG